CAAAGAUAGAAAGCUACAGAUACAACCGCCGGAAACACAACUCCUAAGUAAAACAAAAAUCUCCUACAUAACAUAGUUUUUCUACAAAUCAAGGAUGAAGACUGUCCAGGUGGUGCUCAUAUGCCUUGUCCUUUCGGUGCUCUGUUCAGGUAUUUUGCCGGUAUGUUUUUCUCCACCGCACUUGUAGGAAAUAUAUUUCGGCAUAUCCGUGCUCCUGCUCUCGAAACCCCGCAGGCCUCGCUGCUCGUUGUGCCCAGUACAACGUCUCCAAGGCAUGUCCAAGCAUAGCUUCAUGCACAUCACUGUGCACCUAUACAUAUAAGGCGGACACAGUAUAUGGUGUAUGUGCCGAUAACGGAUGCUGGUGCGUAGUCUGCGUGAUACCACCUGCAGCUCAAUCUGCGUCUGCAGCCCAGAUUGCGCCUGCGGGGAAUUAAAGGAUAUCGCUUGCUUCCCUUUCUGCCUAAAUAGAAUAAAACAAUGUCUAAUUAAUGUAUUUUUCUCGUACCGACAACAUUGUAUCGGUGUAAGGACCUGCGAGGCAAAAUAACAUCCUAUUAAUAUUGAGCGCUCUUUGGCGAAAUG
rnacentral:lncRNA from 1 species